UACGUAGGUGGCAAGCGUUGUCCGGAAUCACUGGGCGUAAAGCGUACGCAGGCGGACCGUUAAGUCGGGUGUGAAAUCCCAGGGCUCAACCCUGGACGUGCAUUCGAUACUGGCGGUCUCGAGUACGGGAGAGGUGAGUGGAAUUCCUGGUGUAGAGGUGAAAUUCGUAGAUAUCAGGAGGAACACCGGUGGCGAAAGCGGCUCACUGGCCCGAUACUGACGCUCAUGUACGAAAGCGUGGGGAGCAAACAGG
rnacentral:rRNA from 1 species